UACGAAGGGGGCUAGCGUUGCUCGGAAUCACUGGGCGUAAAGCGCACGUAGGCGGAUUGUUAAGUCAGGGGUGAAAUCCUGGAGCUCAACUCCAGAACUGCCUUUGAUACUGGCGAUCUCGAGUCCGGAAGAGGUGAGUGGAACUGCGAGUGUAGAGGUGAAAUUCGUAGAUAUUCGCAAGAACACCAGUGGCGAAGGCGGCUCACUGGCCCGGUACUGACGCUGAGGUGCGAAAGCGUGGGGAGCAAACAGGG
rnacentral:rRNA from 1 species